UACGGAAGGCAGCAGUGGGGAAUAUUGCACAAUGGGCGCAAGCCUGAUGCAGCCAUGCCGCGUGUAUGAAGAAGGCCUUCGGGUUGUAAAGUACUUUCAGUCGUGAGGAAGGUGUUAAGGUUAAUAACCUUAGCAAUUGACGUUAGCGACAGAAGAAGCACCGGCUAACUCCGUGCCAGCAGCCGCGGUAAUACGGAGGGUGCGAGCGUUAAUCGGAAUUACUGGGCGUAAAGGGCACGCAGGCGGUUAAUUAAGUUGGAUGUGAAAUCCCCGGGCUUAACCUGGGAAUGGCAUUCAAGACUGGUUAGCUAGAGUCUUGUAGGAGGGGGUAGAAUUCCAUGUGUAGCGGUGAAAUGCGUAGAGAUGUGGAGGAAUACCGGUGGCGGAAGGCGGCCCCGUGGACAAAGACUGACGCUCAUGUGCGAAAGGCGUGGGGAGCAAACAGGGAUUAGAUA
rnacentral:rRNA from 1 species